GAGGACCGAACCCACGUAAGUUGAAAAUUGCGGGGAUGAGUUGUGGGUAGCGGUGAAAUUCCAAACGAACUUGGAGAUAGCUGGUUCUCUCCGAAAUAGCUUUAGGGCUAGCCUCGCAAAGAGGAUGCUGGAGGUAGAGCUCUGUUUGGACUAGGGGCCCGUCAAGGGUUACUGAAUUCAGAUAAACUGCGAAUUCCAGACAUUUAUGUGCGGGAGUCAGACUGCGAGUGAUAAGAUCCGUAGUCGAAAGGGAAACAGCCCAGAUCACCAGUUAAGGUCCCAAAAUUCAUGCUAAGUGGAAAAGGAUGUGGAGUUGCGCAGACAACUAGGACGUUGGCUCAGAAGCAGCCAUCAUUCAAAGAGUGCGUAAUAGCUCACUAGUCGAGUGACGCCGCGCCGAAAAUUUACCGGGGCUAAGCAUGAUACCGAAACUGUGGAUGUGCGUUUAUGCACGUGGUAGGAGAGCGUUCUAGCGGCGGUGAAGCAUGACCGAGAGGACAUGUGGAGCUUCUAGAAGUGAGAAUGCCGGUAUGAGUAACGAAAGACAGGUGAGAAUCCUGUCCGCCGCAAGACUAAGGUUUCCUGGGGCAGGCUCGUCCGCCCAGGGUAAGUCGGGACCUAAGGCGAGGCCGAGAGGCGUAGUCGAUGGACAACAGGUUGAAAUUCCUGUACUGCACCGAAUCGUUAUGAGCGAUGGAGGGACGCAGGAGGCUAGCAGCGCGUGGUGCUGGAUACCACGUUCAAGCGUCAAGUCUGAGAGCGAGUCAAAUGCUUGCUCUCAUAAGGACAAGGCGUGAUGAGGAGCGAAAUUAAAGUAGCGAAGGCUGCGACGUCACACUGCCGAGAAAAGCUUCUAGCCAGAGACGGUGCACCCGUACCGCAAACCGACACAGGUAGUCGAGGAGAGUAUCCUCAGGUGAGCGAGAGAACUCUCGUUAAGGAACUCGGCAAAAUGGCCCCGUAACUUCGGGAGAAGGGGCGCUGGUCGCAAGAUCAGCCGCAGUGAAAAGGCCCAAGCAACUGUUUAUCAAAAACACAGGCAUCUGCAAAAUCGUAAGAUGAAGUAUAGGUGCUGACACCUGCCCGGUGCUGGAAGGUUAAGAGGAGAGCUUAGCGCAAGCGAAGGUUUGAAUUGAAGCCCCAGUAAACGGCGGCCGUAACUAUAACGGUCCUAAGGUAGCGAAAUUCCUUGUCGGGUAA
rnacentral:rRNA from 1 species